rnacentral:rRNA from 1 species
UAGAUGAACGCUGCCGGCGUGCUUAACACAUGCAAGUCGAACGAUGAUCCCUGGCUUGCUGGGGGGAUUAGUGGCGAACGGGUGAGUAACACGUGAGUAACCUGCCCUUGACUCUGGGAUAAGCCUGGGAAACUGGGUCUAAUACCGGAUACGACCGCUCCACGCAUGUGGUGGUGGUGGAAAGCUUUUGCGGUUUUGGAUGGACUCGCGGCCUAUCAGCUUGUUGGUGGGGUAAUGGCCUACCAAGGCGACGACGGGUAGCCGGCCUGAGAGGGUGACCGGCCACACUGGGACUGAGACACGGCCCAGACUCCUACGGGAGGCAGCAGUGGGGAAUAUUGCACAAUGGGCGAAAGCCUGAUGCAGCGACGCCGCGUGAGGGAUGACGGCCUUCGGGUUGUAAACCUCUUUCAGUAGGGAAGAAGCGAAAGUGACGGUACCUGCAGAAGAAGCGCCGGCUAACUACGUGCCAGCAGCCGCGGUAAUACGUAGGGCGCAAGCGUUAUCCGGAAUUAUUGGGCGUAAAGAGCUCGUAGGCGGUUUGUCGCGUCUGCUGUGAAAGACCGGGGCUCAACUCCGGUUCUGCAGUGGGUACGGGCAGACUAGAGUGAUGUAGGGGAGACUGGAAUUCCUGGUGUAGCGGUGAAAUGCGCAGAUAUCAGGAGGAACACCGAUGGCGAAGGCAGGUCUCUGGGCAUUAACUGACGCUGAGGAGCGAAAGCAUGGGGAGCGAACAGGAUUAGAUACCCUGGUAGUCCAUGCCGUAAACGUUGGGCACUAGGUGUGGGGGACAUUCCACGUUUUCCGCGCCGUAGCUAACGCAUUAAGUGCCCCGCA